CAGACACGUUGUUUCUGAAACAACAGGAUGCUUUGGCUGGCAUCCUACUAGACUCAUUCCUAUGGUUUUCAGUCCUCAGGUGGCAUUAAUGGCAAGGAAGGCAGCUCCUUCUGGCUUACCCUUAAAAUGUGCCAUUUCUCUUCAGGUGAGUAUCUGAAAACAAGCUUGGAAAACUCAUCAAAGCUACCCUGUACCCUGAUAACUACCUGGAUAUGGGAAUGAAGACAGUGUCUAAGAGGGAAGUUUCAGAAAUAAUGGAGGUUGACACCUCACUUCCUCAGUGUCUUUCUGCUCCCUCCCAAGGGCAGUUUUAAGGACCCAGACAGGACCAACAAUGAAUACAAGAAGGAAAAAGAAUAUUCAUGAAGCAUCUCCUCUGCUCAGUGAAUCAGGAACUGUACAAAAGUCCUUUACAAUGCAGACUUGAUGUACAAUAAUAUUAAGCAAGAAAAUAUUCAAACAGCCAUGAAACAGUCAUCAAAAGUGCUGCUCCUUGUUUCAAUCCCUGCAAGAAAUCAAAACCUUUCAAGCAGAGCCAGAUUUUAACGAAUGGUGGCUGUUUAAAGCAGAGUUGCCAAAAGCCUUGGCUGUGCCUGGACUUUUAUUUUAAGUAUUUGUACCAUUAAAUAUUAAUAUAGGUCAAAUAACUGAUCCCCCUGAGCAGAUGAAAUCUGCACAAUGAAAACAAACACACUGUAAAACAUGAGCCAAUGUUACCCACAAUGUUGCUGCAUAAAUAUGCAAAUACAGACCCCGAUUUCCCUGAACAAGUUUUCUUAUUGACGUUAUGGGAGAAUGAGAAGGAAAACAUAAAAAUUAAAUAAUAGUCACAGCACUGAAACUUUUAAGAGCUGAUCCAAGGCUCAUUGACUCAAGGGAGCUUUGCCUCUAGUACCUUUAAGAGCUGCAGUGCUGCAGAACCUGAAACACACUCAGGGAAAUCACAACGUGGUGCCACACAGACAAGGCAAUGUCACAUUUGACAGUAGAUGUGUCUGUAGGGACACACUGCAGUAGGAAUUAAAAAGAAAAACGUGGAGUGGAUCUGUUUGUUUUUUACUGGCAUCUCCUGCAUAAUUUCACUACAGGCUCCCAGUUUUUGCUGGUGAUGAUGGGAAGUGUGGGAGAUCCUACAAGAAUGUGUGAGAUGUCUUAGGUCAGGGACCUUGGUGAGGUCCAGGCAAGAUGUACUCUUUGUCCAGCUCACUGUCAACGUUUUAAGGAGUAUUGAUGAAAAGCAUGCACUAAAAUUGAAAAGGAGGAGAACUACAUAGCAAGGAUGGAAACUGAGAGUUCAUUGAAUUGAUCAGUUUGUAUACAGCCUCAAAUGCUAUUGUGGAGGGCAGCCAUGGGAAGCCUUUGCCCUUGAUCCUUUGAUCUCCGUUUGUCCCGAUCUUCACAGCUGGCAGAAGCUGCAGUUGGGUUUGUGUGUGCUGUGUGCUUGAGGCCUGGCUGCUCUGUGAGGUGUGAGCACUUGGAAGUGCUUUGAGUUUGAACUGGAUACAAUAGAAACCUAAAGAAGCUGUAAAAAUACCCUGGGCCAACUUCUGAUCCCUGUUAUUUCUCAGCAAAUUAGGAAUAGCUGUUAAAAUUAUGGCACUGGCAUUGCAAAGUUGUACAUUAAAAAUAAUGAGUGAAG